rnacentral:tRNA from 1 species
UCCGAUAUGGUGUAGUGGCCAACAUGAUGCCCUCUCACCUCAAGAGAGGUUAGGCAUAGCCCCGAGUUCGAUUCUCGGUUUCGGAA